GAUGAACGCUGGCGGCGUGCCUAAUACAUGCAAGUCGAGCGAACAGACGAGGAGCUUGCUCCUCUGACGUUAGCGGCGGACGGGUGAGUAACACGUGGAUAACCUACCUAUAAGACUGGGAUAACUUCGGGAAACCGGAGCUAAUACCGGAUAACAUGUUGAACCGCAUGGUUCAAUAGUGAAAGACGGUCUUGCUGUCACUUAUAGAUGGAUCCGCGCCGCAUUAGCUAGUUGGUAAGGUAACGGCUUACCAAGGCAACGAUGCGUAGCCGACCUGAGAGGGUGAUCGGCCACACUGGAACUGAGACACGGUCCAGACUCCUACGGGAGGCAGCAGUAGGGAAUCUUCCGCAAUGGGCGAAAGCCUGACGGAGCAACGCCGCGUGAGUGAAGAAGGUCUUCGGAUCGUAAAACUCUGUUAUUAGGGAGGAACAAAUGUGUAAGUAACUAUGCACGUCUUGACGGUACCUAAUCAGAAAGCCACGGCUAACUACGUG
rnacentral:rRNA from 1 species